CGGAUGCGCCCCCCGCCGUCAUAGCCUGGCUCGCGCUUCGGCGCGGGGCGACGGGGACCCCGGCCACCCGGACCGUGCGCACGUCCGCCAGGCCCGCAUCCUCACAGCAGCCACCUGCCGCCCGGGGACCACGACAGCCUCGUGGGCAGACGACCCGGCUGGGGGUCCUGACCCGGGAAGGGACGUGCGGGCGCGGCGGCGCGGGGCCCGGGGUGUAAGGCUUGGGCCUGAGGUCCCGCCGGUCUCGGCGCCGCGCACCCCUUCCCGGCGGGAGGACGCGACCCUGCCUCACCCGCGGCCCAUUCUCGGGGUGCCGGCGUGGCCCCAGGCUGCACCCCAUGCACGGCUUACCGGACGCGAGCCGCGCCUGCCCAGGAGCCCGCUGCCCCCUCCGCUCUGCGGCUGAGACCACCCGCCCCUCCCUCCAAACCAGCGUCACGUGGUCCCGUUUCCCAGAGCCGCCUGCACGCACAGGAAAGCAACUGUCUUUCUCAGCAUAGAACCAGUAAAAUUGCUGGGACCCUGGAGGGGACUCGAUCAGCUCAGUAUUUGUACUUGUUAAUUUGGUCAAGUUCUCUAGUCCUUAAGGCAACUGAUAUUUUCUAGUCUGAUUAUGUAGCACAGGCUGGCCUCAAACUGCGAUCCUCCUGCCUCAGCCUCCCGAGUGCUGAGAUUACAGAUUUGAGUGUUGUAUAUUAAGAUGUCGGCCUCGUUUCCUGUCGUUCAUAUUUGCCUGGGCUCACUUUGCACGAAGCCUGCCACAGCAGCUGUAGGGCUGUGGCUCCAAACGCAAGCCCCACUGACCACCAGCCCCAGCUGCUGCCCUUGGGAUCCCCCUUGGUAUUAAAGCAUGGCCACCUCCUCCUGGCCACUCCCAGUCAAAGGUGGGGUGCAGCAGGGUCCUCGUGCUGACCUUUCCCGCCCACUGCCAACUCCUCUGCUGGACAGUGCCAUCAGGACCUGAAACAGCCUGGCCAGGACCUCUGGGAAAGGGACCCUGGCCUGGGACCAUCCACCCCGGCCUCCUCCAGCAUCUGUCUCCAUGCGCUGCCUCCUGUCAAUCAUAGGCACAACCCCCACCUCAGCCCAUCUCAGCCUCCGCUUCUCAGAGGGCUGCUCACGCUCACCCUGGGAACGUGUCUCUCUCCAUGUCCUCAGGGGCCCAAGGCAGGACAAAGGCACAGGUCCAGGACACAGAGCGGCCUCCAGGGCUCGAGGACCCUGCUCCCCUCUGUCCCAAGGCCUCUCUUGCUCUGCACUUGCUGUGUGGGGUGUUUCUGAUUUGCUAUUUGAUGUCAUUCUUAG